rnacentral:rRNA from 1 species
AGUGAACGCUGGCGGUAGGCCUAACACAUGCAAGUCGAACGGCAGCACAGUAAAAGCUUGCUCUUACGGGUGGCGAGUGGCGGACGGGUGCGGAGAACAUCGGAAUCUACUUUUUCGUGAGGGAUAACGUAGGGAAACUUACGCUAAUACCGCAUACGACCUACGGGUGAAAGCAGGGGAUCUUCGGACCUUGCGCGCUUGAAUGAGCCAAUGUCGGAUUUGAUAGUUGGCGGGGUAAAGGCCCACCAAGGCGACGUUACGUCGCUGAUCUUAGGGGAUGUACGGCGACAUUGGAUCGGAGACACGGACAAGAAACUAACGGGGGGACAAAGUGGGAAAUAUUGGACAGGGGGCGCAGGCCUGCGCGAGCAGUACCGCGUGAGUGAAGAAGGCCUUCGGGUUGUAAAGCCUUUUUGGUGGGAAAGAAAAGCAGCAGGUUAAUACGACGCUGUUCUGACGGUCCCCAAGAAUAAGCACCGGCUAACUACGUG